CGUUCUCCGUCUCCCCGUUUCACCGCGGCGGCGAGGGCAUGGCGGCGACGACGCGGCCGUGGUUGAACUCCGUGUUGACGAAGGUGACGGCGACGCCACGGUCGGCCAGCGCGUGCGCGACCUCCAUGAGCGGGAUGACGUGGCCCUGCGCCGGGAACGGGACGACGAGCGCGUGCGGCCGAGCCGGUAGUGGUGACGCCAUUGAUGCAGCUUUCAAGCAGGCGCCCAAGCACAAGAUCCCAAGGAGGCGAGGAUCGUCGUGAUGAUUUGGUGCUAGGAUCUAUAUAUAUACGGCGAGAGGCGACGUCACGAUGCGAACACGCGCGCGCUAGAUGACAGGGAGGAGAGGACAGCCCUCGUUGCUGCGGUUUGGACAGACGAAUAACGCGUUCUGACCAGGGUUCACAAUUUCGGAUCGAAAUUUCUGAAUUUUGGUUCUAUCGGACCCCGAUACGAUAUUAUUUCAAUCGAAAUUUCUUUUUUUUUUCAUUUUUUCAUUAAUUUGGUACUAUUUUGUUCAAAUUUGAUCAAAUUUCAUUCAAAAAAUCAUAUAAUUUCGUACCAAAAUUUUUGAAAUUUCGGAAAUUUCGCUAUUUCAGCCACCACUGAUACAAAACCCUAAAUCGUGAGAUUAAAGCCUUGUUCUGAUACAUGCGCCUUGUCAUCAUCGCAGCCUUGUUUUGAGAAACAAACAAUGCGUGGAGCGACAAGCACUUGGCAAGAUGCAGUGGGGAAUUUAACUAUUUGCCACUUUUAGGUUUGCCAAUUAUCCAAAUGCCCCUCUUAGGUUUACACUUAAUAAUUUGUUACUGGAGAGAGAUAAUUUCUUAACUAUUUAUCACUUUUGCCUACGUGGCGUGCCACCGUGGAAAGCAACGUGGACCCCACCCGUCAGCCCCUCUCCUCUCCUUCUUCUCUCUAGUGGUCGUCGCCCACCUCCCGCCGGCCCCGCGCUGGCCCUAGGUCGUCAUCGACCGCCAGCCCACGCUCGCCUGCUCGCCCCACGACCGCCAUCCCCGGCGCCGCCGCGCCCAACAGCUCAGACGCCACCAGAGUCCGGUGACUCGACGUGACGCGACGCGACGCGACUCUCCUCUGCCCCGGCAAUGCUGCGGCACGGCCUCCGUGUGGAGGGACUCGGCGACGCCCUCUCUCCUUGUCCGCGUCUCCGCCUUCUUCCUCCUCGCCGACGCCGACUCCCUGGUCGGGCCACUCGCCGCCGAGGCGGUCAUGUUGGCCGCCACGACCUACUCCGCCGUGGCGGUCGGCUACACUGUCGCCGAGUGCCGACACCUCCACCAAGCGUCGUCUUCGCCCGGGACAUCGGACGCCGCCGCCGCCGCCGCUGGUGUACGAGUCACAGGUGGAGAGGCGCCACCACGAGACCUGGAAGAAGUUCACCGUGCGCAUUCGCCGUCCUCCUCGUGGAUCUUCUACCUCGUGUGGUUGCUACGGCCAAACGACGCGCCGCCACCGCAGCCAGCAGGGGACGACGACGAUGAUGGCGUGGGGCCAGCGCAGGGCCGCCGGGAGGUCACGGGCCUCACGGCGACGAUCGGAGGUAGAGAAGAAGGAGAGGAGAGGGGCUGACUGGUGGGGUCCACGUUGCUUUCCACACUGGCACGGCACGGUGGCAUGCCACGUAGGCAAAUGUAGCAAAUAGUUAAAAAAUUAUCUCUCUCCCGUGGUAAAUUAUUCAGUGCAAACCUAAGAGGGGCAUUUGGAUAUCUGGCAAACCUAAAAGUGGCAAAUAGUUAAAUUUCCCAGAUGCAGCGGUUUCGUCAUAUUCUUCUCUACCUUUUUCUUGUACAAAUGGCUUCCAAGGAGCCAAAGUCUACACUUCGUUGUUGGAGAAUUGGAUUUACUGUCACGACUAUAAUAAAUAAUUACAUUUUGGACAAACGGGUUAAACAAUAGAAAUGAAAAAUGGUAUAUAUCAUGCCCAUAAAUAUAGACGCCACUACACAGUUGUGGUCUCUUAAUAGACUAAACCAGAGAUCCAACUAUUUUCAUAACUAGUACCUAUUUCCCAUGUGGGGGUACGCAACAUGCAACAACAAAUAUUCAUAAUAGUUAAAUUUGAAAUAAAAUUUUCUUUCAUAUUACAGAUCCGAUCUACAGCCCGAUUAUACCAUUGUAUUCAUUGUAAUUAAAUCUUUAUAACAAGAUCUUACAUAAUUAUAUUCUAAUAAAAAAUUAUAUAUAUUGUAAUUACUUUUAGUCUGUAUGUAAGUUAUUUUUAUCGUAUAUAUAAAUUACUUUUAGAUUUGAUUAAAUUACUUUUUGGAUAUUUGAAGAAUUUACUGUAUUGGUUAGUUCUAUAAUAUGUUAAUUAGAUUUAAUUUCUAGACAUACUUAUGUACUCCCUCUGGUUUCAUUUUAAUUGACGUUUUGGACCAUGAAUCGAUGUACGAAAUAUACCUUUGACCUUAUUUUUUAUUAUAAUAUAUAAAAUAAAUAAAUGUAUGUUUACUUUAAUUAUAGUGCUUUGAAAGAUAAAUCUAUAUAUGUUGUUCUAGUUUCUUUAAACUAAAUAUUUUUAAAGUUAUUGUAGGUCAGAGUUAUAAAAGUUUGACCUAAACAUUGUCCAAAACGUCAAUUAUUAUAGAACCGGAGGGAGUAUUAUUUUUAUGAUCUAUUUUAACCAUUAAAGUUCACUUAAAAUAUAUAAUAAAAAGAGUACAAUAUUGAAUAUAUUGAAAUAUUUAAAAAUAACUUAGUUAAAUAGUAGAAGUAAUUAAGCUCUACAAUAAAAAAUAACUUUUUAUAGCAUUAGAAAUAAUUGCAUAUAUGAGUUAAAAAUAUCUUUAUAGGAAAAGUGUAGAUAUUCACAAGUAAAUACAUGAUUUUUUUAUUCGAAGUAAAACAUGUGUAUGUAUAUAUAAAUAUUAUUGUUUUCGAUAAAAGCGAUUUAUUUUAUAUAGGUAGUAACUCUUUAGAAAAUAGAUUUAACUAUUCAUUGUAUUAAAAUGUUCCAGAGAAGUUGCUACAUUACUAUAGGAAAGUAACUUUAAAAAAUAGGACUAACCCUUUUACGGAGUUAGAAAUAACUACACUGAUAGAGGUAAGUAACUCUUCACAGAAUUAAAACUAACUAUACUACUAUAGAGAAGUAACUAUUUAUCUAUUCGAAGUAACAACACUGCUUAAAAAAUAAAUAAUAUAAUAUAUUCAAUAUUGGACUUGUUUUGUCAUAUAUUUUCAGUAGUGUACUAUGGUUCACUCGGAUAUUAAAAAAUAUGCUUUAAAAGAUAUAAGCCACCAAAGAUUUUAAAAAUACUAGUGCAAUGGUCCUAGACUCUAUUAGCAUGUGACUACAUAGUACUUAAAGUGAAAGGGCAAGGUGACACGUCUGAGGGAAGAUGUGAUGCUUCUAUUUUUGGCAAGUACGUUAUGUUGUUGGUUAGGAUUAAAGCGUUACCAAUCUUGUUAUAUUCACGUCCCUUCUUUUAACUAUUGUUACAAGUUGGAUUAGGGCCAAUACAACAUUUUCACUUUCAACCAGGAAAGUUUACCUAAUGUUUCAAUUUGAGUAUCCUGUUUGCUUCUUAUCCAACCUCCCCUCUUGAGUCUUGACUCUCUUGUUGUCUUGUAUCCCUCUCUAAAUUAGCAAUGACGAUGAUAUCUCAUGAUCGCAAAUUCUUAUUUCUUAGCAGUAUUUCUGUUCAACGUCAAGGUAUGCAUCACUCAUGGCAUGAUCGACUCCACGAACAUGUCGAAGUUGCCAUGGGAGCAACCACCCUCCUGAACGCUCUCGUGUGCCACCGCCAUCAUCGCCUCGAUCCUCUUCCUCAUGCCAGAGUCUCCCAUCACCUCCUCCACUCUGCCGGCGAUGUGCUUCUUCGUGACCACGCCCAACUUCUCGUCGGCGACGGCUGGGAGCCCGACCCGCCAGAUGUCGCAGAUGUACGCCCGGUUGACGAACUGGUCGGCGAAGUAGGGCCACGCCACGAACGGCACGCCGUUCCGGACGCCCUCCAUGGUCGAGUUCCACCCGCAGUGCGACACGAAGCACGCCACCGCCGGGUGAGCCAGCACCCGCUGCUGCGGCGCCCACGCCACGACCUUGCCACGGCCGCCGCCAUUGCCGGAGGCGACGACGCGGUCCAGGAAGCCGUCGGGGUACUCGUGCACGUCGCCACGGACGAUGUCUGGGCGCACCACCCACAAGAAAGGCCGGCCGGUGAGCUCGAGCCCCAGGGCGAGCUCCUGGAACUGGCGCCGGUCGAACAUGGUGAAGCUGCCGAAGGCGACGUACACAACGGACCGCGCCAGCUGCGCGUCGAGCCACGACAUGCACGCGCCGUCCUCGGGGCGCCAGAAGUUCCCGACGGGCAUGCCUGGGCGCUCGCCGGUGAGGAGCGGGCCGACGGGGAGGAUCUUGGGGAACCGCGCGAACGUCGCCGCCUCCGCGCCGCGGAAGGAGUUGCAGAGGAUGUAGUCGCACUCGUCGACGGCACGGACGCCGGCGAGGAGGUAACGGAACAGCAGUUCCUGCCCCUCGUCGUUGCCGAUACAGUUCCACGCCAGGUGCGCCGGUUGCAUCAUCGGCAUGUCCGGCGACAGCUGGAAGGCCUCCUGCGUUAGUGCUGAUCCUGCCCAGCAAAAAAAACAAGAUGGAAAUAUCAGUUUCUCAAUUCAGAAUUUGAAAUUUGUUUUUUUUUGGGUGAGGAAUUUAACAUCUUGAUAUCGGAUUAGCAUUUUGGAUCUUCUACGAAAUUUCAGUUGCUUCCUGUGUACAAAAUUUUAAUCUGUGAAACCAAAUUUUGUCACGCAAAACAUUAAUCUGCAAGUACCAUCGGGCCAAUUAUUAUACAUUAAGAGCAUGUCCAGAUUACGGCAAAAAUAAAUCUUCAAAAAAAUUUAAAUACUAAAAUUUUAGUAAGUUGGUUGUAUUGUCAAGUUUUGAUAGAAUAUGUCAAAUGUGAUGAUUCUAAAAUUCAUUAGACAUUAGUAAUAUUUCAUAAUAAACUAAAUGUGUCAAUUUUGUAAAAAAAAAUAUGGUUUAAAAUGGAAAUUAUAAAGUAUAAGGUCUAUAAUUAUUUUACACGGUAUUUACUUUUAAUCAUUAAUUUAUUUCAUAUUAUGUAUCAAUAAUUAUAAAAUUAGUAUCAUAUGGAUGUAUUUAGAAGGAGAAUCUAACAAUAAAAUACGCUCAAUUCUUUUAAGAAUGAUAAUGCUUUACAAUUUGAGACGGAGGGAGUCCAAUCUUAUUCAAACGAUGAAGUAUAUACAGUUAUUCAAACAAUGAAGUAAAUAAUAAUGUUGAAUAAUUUUAACUAUUUAUAAAUUAUUUAUUAAAGAAAUAACUAUCAAAGCUUGAACAGAGGAAUCACAGCAGUGAGUAUUAAUUACUCUAAAACAGACAGAUCAUUUUGCCGUUUUCAUUUUUACUUACCAUCUUGAGCAUCGAUGACUUUGUCCCGGACGAGUUCCGGAAUGCUGAGUAGAGACGCCACGACGGCGGCCGACGCCGGCCAGACGGCGGCGGACAUCACGCCGGUGCGCCGCGCCACGUCCAGCGCCCACGUCCCGACAUUGUAGUCCGCCACCACGCACGUGAUCCUCCCCCAGCCGUCGCCGCCGUCCACCGCCGCCUCCUCGUCGCCGCUCCGCCGGAUGAGCUCCUCGACGGGCGGCGCCAUGUGCUCCUGCAUGAGCACGGUCAGCCUCACCAGGUUGUUCCGGUCCUCGUCGGGCCCCAUGCCAUCCGGCACCGCCACGAGCCUGAUCCGAUUCCGCCCCAUCCCCAGCUUUCCGCUGCCGCCGUUCUCCGUCACCCCGUUCCGCCGCGGCGGCGAGGGCAUGGCGGCGACGACGCGGCCGUGGUUGAACUCCGUGUUGACGAAGGUGACGGCGACGCCACGGUCGGCCAGCGCGUGCGCGACCUCCAUCAGCGGAAUGACGUGGCCCUGCGCCGGGAACGGGAUGACGAGCGCGUGCGGCCGAGCCGGCGGUGGUGACGCCAUUGAUGCAGCUUGUAAGCACGCGCCCAAGCACAAGAUCCCAAGGAGGUGAGGAGCCUU
rnacentral:lncRNA from 1 species